UAAAUAUAUGUAAUUAAAUGUGUGGAUGUGUAUUAAUGGAAAAUGUGUCUCUUCUCCCAGAGAAAAAAGACAGAGAGGAUUGUAGUUUAGGACCCAGCGAUUCAAAUGGGGCGGGGGCGGGGCUUCUUGUGAUUGACAGGAACCCAGAGCGCAGGCUACGGCGAUCGAGUGUACUACAGCCAUAACGCCGAGUGUCACUGUGAUCAGCGGGGGGGAAAAUAGCAAUAAGUAAAAAAAUACUGCAUGAAACUGUCUGAUCAGUUCUGCAUCUACAAGCGCCCGGUAAAAGGAGCAAACGAUGCGUCUCUAUCCCUGAUUGUCGCUUUUCCGUCGUUCCCGCAGAGCCAAUAAUGCUUAAGAUGAGGCUGCCCAUGAGAACGGCGGAGGAAGGAGGCAACGAGACGGCCGAAGACAAGCAGGACCACGCCGACCCCGGUCUUCAUAGCCCCGGCUCUGUGGAUCAGUCGGCUACCGGUGUAACAGAGAAUUCCCCUAGACGGCUGGGGUGCCCCCUCCGCUUGAAUAAGGAGGCUGUGUUCGAGUGGUUCGGCUUGCACCUGAAUCCGGCCAAGCGAAUCGAGUUCAUGUGCGGUCUACUCCAUAUGUGUCAGCCGCUGGAGCUGCGCUUCCUCGGCUCCUGCCUGGAGGACUUGGCGAGAAAGGAUUUCCACGUCCUGCGAGACUUCGAAAUGAAGGCGAACAGUCCGAGCGAGCUGGGCCUGCUGACGGACGUCGCUGACCCGGUGGUCAGGUCCAGGUUGCUCGUCUGCCUGUCCCUCCUGGGCUCCGAGAACCGGGAAUGUGCUGGAAUACUGUUUCGCAUCCUGAGCCAUGCGGACCCCGCCUUGUACUUUAGAAACCACGGCUUCCCCGCGUCUUCCUAUCGGGACCCGCGGCACCCUCGGCUCCAUCCUUCCUGUGAGGAUGCGGACGAGCCGGGGAAGUCGGAGAGGUUAGCGGGGCCUCUGUCAGAGGAGGGGGCAGGGCUGCUGGAGCAGUUCGCGCUGCUCUUCACCAUGGCCUCCCUGCACCCGGCGUUCCCUUUUCACCAGAGGGAGACCGUCCGGGUCCAACUGGAAAAAGUGGAGCUGGCGAUGAGAGAAGAGCAACUACGACGACGCGGCGCCGACAGCCCGAACAAAAUUCCACAAACAGGUGACUUCUCCCCCAGCACUGACAGCAUCCCAAAUAACAGAGUACAAUGUCGCCACUCGGCCCAGCCUACAGCCAAGAAGUCUCAGAGGGAAGCUGUAUAUAUUGAAAAGAUCUUGCUGAAGGGAAUCUCGUGGAGCAGGACUGACAAGGAGUACAGUUUUGAGGUGAAAUGGUCAGAUUCUUCGUCAAGUAGUGUGAUCAAGACGCACCAUGAUCUGGAGGAAUUUUUGUUGAAGCUUCCAAAGGAAUUUGCCACAGAGUGCUUCGAGAAGAGUAUUGUGCGAUUACUAAGCCAGGGAGACAAGUAUGAGAGCAGGGAACUGGAGCGAACGCUAAAGGAGAAGUUCCUAUCUGCGCCGCCAGCUUUCCGGCAGACCGGGACGGUCUGCGGCUUCUUCUUGUCGGAUUCCUCUGGGUCCAGCUGCAGCCGCUGUAGCCCCAAGGCCCUGGGAAAGCCCUUCGCAGAGGACUGCUCUGAAGCUUCCAGCCAGGAGGAAGAUCUAGAGCAGUAUGUUGUCGGUCACCGGAAGAAACCUGGUACCAAGAGUCCAAGCCUUAGCAGCCAGAGUAGCAAGAGUUGCCCAGCGGACGGACGGAGAGCCACGCCCUCAGAGCUCAACAGUGCCCCGGACUGGAGGCGGAAGAGCUACCCAAUGAAUCCGGCCCUGGAGCAGCGUGGCCCUGGGCCAGAGCAGCAGCACCAAGGUGAUCAGAAGUGGAGCUCCACCCCCAGCACUAAGAGCAAGCCCAGAGCGGCAGCCACAGACAGGGAGAAGGGGAAGGUGGGAGAGGGCAGGCUAGCUUAUGUUGGCAAUGGGAUCAUGAGGCCCGCUCCAGUACACCUGGGUCGACAGCCCGCCAGGAAAGAUGGUCGCCAAGACGUGGGCUCAGGGCAGGAUUCGUACGGGGAAACGUCCUCUGAGAGCUACAGCUCACCCUCCAGCCCACAACACGACGGACAGGAGAGCCUGGAGAGUGAGGACGAAAAGGACAAGGAUACAGACAGCCAUUCCGAUGACUGCGGCAAAGACCGAGUGGAGCCCUUCCCCUCUCCUAAACAGCUGGCCGGAGCAGCCCUUGCCACCAUGCGCCCCCUACUGCCCAUCCCACUGAAGGAGGAGCCAUCCUGCACCGAGGGGCCCCUCAGCAGUCCUGUGUUCCCCCAGCUCUCUUUCGUGCACACCCUGCCCUAUGUGGUCCAGAACGGGGCUGUCCCCUCCCCAGAGCCAGGGUCAGUCGCCCACGGGCCGGACAGCAAGCCCAUCGUGGGGGUAGCAGGGGUUGGGGCUACACCCUUGGGACUCCGCGAGGCCGUCUCCGGCACAGUGCCAUCUGGGGAGGGAGAGAAGUUGCCGCCCGAGCCCGCCUACCUGCCGAAUGCCUUCGGACCUUCCCUGGCAGGGCUGCCGCAAGCCGCAGGCCCCGCCGUUCAGCCCCUCGUCCAGCGCUUCAAGGCCGCCGCCCUACAGGGCAGCUCUGAGAACUGCACCCUGCCACACCAGCCCCCCGUGGGCAGUGUUGGUGUCCUCCCCCAAGGCACCAGCUACAUGUCUCCCCUGACACAGGCCUACCCCAGCACCGAACCCGCCUUGGGCUCCAGCCUCCCUAACCCCAUCCCGCUCACGGAGCCCCACGCCAAGCCCCCCAGCCUUUCUCUGUCUGCUGGCCUGGCCACCUCCUACAGCUUGCCCGUGCCCACUUCUGUCAUGCCCUCUGUGGGGGGUGUGGCCACCCCCACAGUCAGCCAGGUGCAGGUCAUGGUGCCACCUGCCAUCCCCACCCACACCCCUGGCCCCGCCCCUAGCUCAAGCCCCGCCCUUACUCACAGCACAGCACAGAGCGACAGCACCUCUUACAUCAACAGCACCAGCUGUGGCACCUCCAGUGGGGCCUCCCAACCCCAGCAGCAGCAGUCAACGCCUCCUCAGCAGAUGGGCUGCAGAACUUGCGGUUGCCGAGGUAGCUGUGGCAGUAACCACGCCCCCAACUACUUCUUCCCGCCCCAGAUGCCCCGACAGGUCCUCAGUAUGCCCCAUAUCUUCCACCUCACGUCACUGCCCCAUCAGAGCAACGGCACCACGCAACUCCCCUUCUUCCCGCCGGCGCCCUAUGCCAGCGGACCACUGCUGCACACGCACUCCGAGCACGUGCUCAGCACCCAGGUGGGCUAUGGCAUGCAGCAGAUGGCCGCCUUCAACCGCUUCUACCAGCCAGUCUUCCCCCCAGUCAGCAUGAUGCCCAGCAGUGCCCUGACAGCGGGCAUAAAGAAGAACAGCAGCAAUGUCUCCUGCUACAACUGCGGGGUCAGUGGGCAUUAUGCACAGGACUGCAAGCAGCCCUCAAUUGACGCCACACAGCAAGGUACUGCUACCCUGUCCGGACCAGUAGUUAUAUAGUUUUGCUUCUUAAGUUUUUAUUUUUCUCUUAUUAUCAAAUUUCAUAUGAAAUCUAGUUUAGUUUUAGUUUUCAAUGUAAUUUUAUUAUUUUGUUUUCAUUUAAAUAUGUUUUUCUAUUUUUAUGUAUUUUAGUUACGUUUUAGGAAUUAUUUGUAGGGAUGAAUUGAAAGUUGCAGGACUAGUUUAUGUGUCUGACCUUUUGCAAAUCCUGCAUAAAUACAAAGUGUAUAUUAUGUACUAAUAUCCUCAAAAUGGGCAAACCAUUUCCAAGUGCUGUUAAUGGCUAUUAAAGAUAAACAAAUCAUUACUUUAGCUAAAUAUAAACAAAACAGCAACAGGAAGUAUUUGACUUUUUAUUUAAUUUCAUUUUGUUUCCAAAGCAAUAUUUAUAUAUAUUAUAUAUUUCAUUUUAUUUUUUCAAUCUUAAUCUCAUUUUACUUUACAAGAAUGCUUUCCUGUAUGUUUCAUUUUCAUUUUUGUUAACUAUAAUAACCCUGGUCCGGACGCUCUACUCUACCUCAGUUUUCCUUCAGAUCUGAAGAAAUUUUUUAUUUUAUAUUUUUUCCCCUCUCUCCCCUCUUCUCUCAAGAGCUUGCCUUUACACAGUGCCUGCAGAGCUAGGCGGCUUCAGGCUGAAGUAUGUGGGAGCUCAGUCCUCGGAGAUGAUCGACAAGGCUGACUGAAGUCACUGGAGACCACUAUCUCUGUCAUGUUCCGCUACAAUAAAGUUUCCAGAGACCUUGUAUUUUAAGAGGUGUAAAUGUUUCCAUUCUGUUUGCUUCACCUUUUAAAAUGUGCAUUGGGGGCCUGGCAAACCUGAACUUGUGCCUGAAACCUCCUUGUUAUAGCUGAGGGUGAUUGCUCCUCAUUUCAAAGACCCCGCCCCACCCUGGGUUUCCUCUGGUAUUUUGCACUGAAGACUGGCGAGAGACACCGGUUCAUGUUUACGAGCUUGUUUCUUAAAUUGUAAAACCAAGUCUGAUAGGAGUACAAAGGAUUCCUAUUAGUCUGAUCUUUAACACCGUGGGGUCAUGGAGGGAUUCUAUAUUAGUCACCCCUUUCACUUUUUAACCAAGGGUAUAUUUAUUGCUUAUGGUUUCAGUUUUUGUCACAAACCAUGGGGGGAAAACCAAUGGAAAAACCAUGUGCAAAUGUGCAAAUGUGCAAAGCUGGGAUUGUUUUUUUUUUUAUCACAGUGUUCUGAAUGUACAGCAUAUUGUUAUUUUAAUUGCCUAAAUUUAAGGAAUUUGGCGGUAUCUUCUAUUAAGAAUGGUUACUUUGAAGCAUUGCCACUUGAUAUAAUGUGAACCUCGUAUUUAAUCAUUAAUCAUGUUGUCAUCAUUUUAAUGCUGCUGUCCUUUCAUUUAUUCUUUUUUUUAAACUCUUGCACUGUUGCUGCAAGGAGUUCUGAAGUCCCCAAGUCUACUGAGGCAGUCUUAAGAUAGAACAGAGACAGCGGUCUAAUACUCCAGUAACGUUACGUUAUGCUGCUGUCCAUGCAGUAUUUUUAUGCACUGCAGAUUCUGACCACAAGAUGGAGCCACUGCUUACCAGUUGUUCAGGAUGCAGAAGGAUCUAGCGUGAAUUGGGGUAUGUAGGAAAACACGUGGACUUGCCUGUAGUAGCCACGAUGGAAGAAAUACGCAUGGAGAUUGAUUUUCCUUAAAUUUACAUUCUUUUUGUCCCUUCCUAUAGCAGCAAUGAUAUUGUAUUAAGUAUGCUUGCGUCGUAUAUGUAUGAACACAUACAAUACUACGCACGUCAUUUUCAUAUUUGAAUAGGAUGGACAGUUGUUAAAGCUUUAAUAAGUUUGUUCAUAAUUUUGAAGAUCAUACCAUUGGUAGCCAUUCCAAACCGAUAGUUUCUCCGCAGAGUACUUUCUGACAAAUGGCUCUGGCUUAAUACUGUACUUUGUUUCUGAUCGUGUGAGGCUGUCAACAUGCCCACAUACAAGCAAAUCUCACCUUUAACCGUAUGUAGAUAGACCUCCUUUUCAAUAUAAUACAUUCGUUUCUUACAGAUUUGAAGACUUGCGCACGGGUUUUCGUCUGCUCUUAAAACUUUCGUUUGGUGCCGCAGCAGCUCAAAGCCCACUUAUAUUGAAGGAAGUAUGAACGGUCUUCUUUGUACUGACGUUAAAUAAAACGAUAACAUGGAAUUUAUUUUGAUAGAUAUUUAAAAUUGAUAAACAUUUUAAAUGCAAGGACCACUUGAGUAUAUAGUGGGUGUUGGAUUUGUAUAUAAGAGCCUGCCAGUUGUAUUUGUUGAACUUUUAAAGUUUAAAAUGCUGUACUGUAUAUAAGGGGGUAUCUUCUUACCUUCAGUUGUAUGUUUACUGUAUUCUUUGAUAUCUAAAUGUUAUGUACUGGAAAGGUCAAAUAUAUUUCUAGAACAAAUUUGGAUUUUAUGCAAAUUGUUCAUUUUUUGUUUCUCUGGAAUUAACAGCAAUAAAUACAAAACGCGGU